AAAAUCAAAAACUGGUACAGUUAGGAUCAGCUUUGCAGACAGUAACUUAGGCCAUCAUUUGCCAUAAUUAUUUUAAGAGACUGAAUGAAAGGUGCAUAUAAUGUAUUCUCUUAUUUAAAUGUGCAUGGUUACUGAGUUGCAGGCAAGUGGUGGUAUUCUGCCUGUAAACUGCUCUGUUGGUUAUUCCUGAAAUGUAACAGCCUUGUUGUUUCACAAACAAUGAAGGCUUAUGAUUGGAUGGUUGCGCUUGAAUGCAUCAAGUGUUUUAUGCUAGAAACUUUUGCUAUCGCUACACUGCAUUUGAUAAUUGCUGAUUGUGUUCUGUAAUAUUUUUAUGGCGCAACGGUGGAUCAAUGAGCAUGUUGACAUAUCCAGUGCUGAUGCUCUCAACGAACCUCUACUUGGCUCCAGCCAUGACAACAGUGGAUCAGAGGUUUAUGAUCCUAGAAGGCAGGACUUGUGGGAUGCUGAUAGAAAGAAGGAGCAACUGCACUGGUCAUUUCUUUUCUGAAAUCUGAUUGCACAAUGGGCACAAAGGUUGGAUGAGAUUGAACUUACUGGAUUGAAUGGGAGAGAUGUAAUUGGAUCAAUUAGCGCAGGUGGUGCAUGCUCCUUCUGUUGCGCUGGUGGUGUAUGGUCCUGCUCUUGUGUGUCACGAUUGAUGGGUGUCACCGAAGAAGUAGAUCCGUCCACAUCCAUGGUGGCUGAACUGCCGCUGCCUGCUGCCUUCCUGCCGUCCACAUCCAUGAAGCAAGAUUGUUUUUAUUAUCUAACGUGUAGAGUUUUAUUAGAUUAGGCCUCACGUGAAGAGUUUUAUUAAAUUAGGCCUCACGUGAAGAGUUUGUUUAAAUUAGGCCUCACGUGAAGAGUUUGUAAGCUAAUACACGUGAAGAGUUUGUAAGCUAAUACAUGUGAACUCAUGCGUGCCAGAUGGCAUAUGGUAGGUCGUUGAGUCGGCGUUUCUGAAUUUCUGGCCGGUUCUGAAUUUCUGGAAGAUGUGAACCAGUGCAAUCGGCAAGUCAUACAUAUGCCUUUAUAUAGUGCUUGCUUAGUUUGUAUCAGGUUUUCUGAACCAUUGUUGCCAAGUGAGUACGGAGAAGACGUGCACCUUGUCGUAUACUUUGUAUCAAUAAGUUUGAUGAUAAGUUCAAAUUUAUCAGUCCAAGAA